CAGGGAGACAACAAAAUGUUUAAUAUUAUUAUUUUGUCACCUUAGGUCGAUCGGUAUCUCACGUUCUUAAUUUGUUAAGAAUUUCAUUUCCUAAGUUUUUCUAGGUCACACCCAUUAUUUUUCCUGGGCCAUUAGCUCAGGUGGUUAGAGCGCACCCCUGAUAAGGGUGAGGUCCCUGGUUCAAGUCCAGGAUGGCCCAUAUCUCUAUGUUGGGGGUAUAGCUCAGUUGGUAGAGCGCCUGCUUUGCAAGCAGGAUGUCAGCGGUUCGAGUCCGCUUACCUCCACUGAUUACCACCUCUUCCAUAACUGGUAGAAAGGAAAUGUUUUGAGUUGUGAUUAUUAUUCUGAACGAAUCUAGCUUCCUAAUGAAAUCAUUAAGAUGCUGGACUCAUUGAAUUAAUUUCAUUGUUUUCAGAGAACCUUGACAACUGCAUAGAUUUUUUUAAAGACAAUAAGCAUCUUUAAUGAUGCAGAUUUAUUAUUUGUGCGAAUGCAUUAAUAACAAUUCUAUUAUGCUGAUGCUUCAAUUUUUGAAGUUAUU
rnacentral:tRNA from 1 species